AAAAAAAUGUUCUCCAUUAAGGCGCAACUCUUGCACUAAAAGGUGAUACUCACCGAGACUUUUUCUCCGAGUCAGGUGGUGUUUUAUACACACUGAUUUGCAAUGUUUUCUUUGCGUCUCCAGUAAAAGAGAGUAAAAGCAAGAGCCUGUAUUCUCCCUCCAUUUAUCAUGGUGAAUGAAGGAAUUAAUUAACGAAGGAGUAAAUACAAACAAUCAACACAACAAUAAAUCCAGAAAGACCGUGAAUAAUUUUUGAGGAAACAUGGACACAACAUUAAAAAUAAUACAAUAUAAAUAUUAAUAAUUUAUUACUUUUUUUUAUCAAUAACAAUGUAUUUAAAACAAAAAGAUUGUUUUUGGUAAAGUUUAAAAAUUACUAAAGUUAAUAUUAAUACUUUUCAAUAAUUCUUAUCAUCUCGCGCACACGAACCUGAUAGGACAACAUUAGAAUACAUCACAUCCGGUCGGCAUAUCGGAUGCGGUGUAGUCGCACAAGUUACAUUUUUUUAACGGAUCCAACGCUCAAAUCGGAUCCGAAAAUUACGGAUCCGCAAAUUACGGAUCCGCAGGUGGUCGGUACCUCACGCAGCGACCUUGCAACUCUCCAUAGGAAAUGAAUGAUUUCCGGUUUAUCUGCGGUCGUUUGUCGUGUGCAGUGUGAAGGCGGCUUAUGGCUUUUGUUGCUGCGUUGCAUUAACAGACAGCCUGUGAGGACAACACUCCCCUAUUCUGGUUUCACCAAAGGGCUCCACACUUGUAGACUGAAUGUGCUACACAACCAAGAUUGCACCAAGCACAUUCUCAGUCCAAUACUGUAACUGUAACAUCGGCCAUCCAUUCAUCCGACCUCAAGAGGGCGCCAUCGCCCAAGUAUUGACUUUGCUCUUCCUCUCUCUACUUCCUGUAGCCACCUGUUAAAAGCCAUCUGAAGUGUUUAACGUUGCGAAGUAUUGCCAGCUUACCACUGUCCUUACCGAGUGUUUUCCCACAUUCUGUCUUGUAUGCCACGUGCAUGUUUUAUUGCCUGUUCUUCACCUUGUUAUUUGGAUUAUGAUUUGGAAUUGUUUGCUCUACGGAAAACCUACCUGUUAUUGAACCACUGCCUGUUUAUCUGACCACGAUUCUCAGCCUACCCCUUUCUUAAUAAAUCUCUGCAUAUGGAUUCUAA